GCAAGACGUAGCAAUUAGUCUAGACAUAUUGGCAAAACAUUUUGCCAGAGGAUGAGACAUAAACCCCUCUGAAAUUUAGGGGGUUUUCACAAUAAUACAAUUUCUAGGGGUCUAGUGGCCUGGGACACGUCGUGACAUACCUUCUAAGGUGAAGGUUAAGUUGUGGCACCUGGCCCCUCCUGCCACAGAAGAAGGUCCAGCGCCAGGUGGAUUUUAGAGGCAGCAUAUUCCCCAUCUGAGUCGGCUUCCGGUCUGGCCCAUUUAUCACAUGACCCCCAAAAGCUGUCGUUUUCAGUAGUGGUAGAACAAGAGAAGUCUCUGCAGUAGGUCCUAGCUUCCAUGCCACAGGGUCCAGCAGGCCCAGGGCACCUUAGCCCUGCUGCUUGCAGCUUUUGGAGGCCCCUGGAGCUGAAUCACAGCACACACAGCCCCAGGGUUUGGGAGCAGAGCCCUCCUAUCCUCUGCAGAUAAAAUGCUCCUUUGAAGAAACAGCUUCGGGUGUGCCCACGGGGGUCCUUUUAGAGCUGUAGCUGCCAGCCUACACCACAGCCACAGCAACACAGGAUCCAAGCCACAUCUGUGACCUACACCAAAGCUCAUGGCAACGCCGGAUCCUUACCCCACUGAGCGAGGCCAGGGAUCGGACCCACAACUUCAUGGUUCCUGGUUGGAUUCAUUUCCACUGCAUCAUGAUGGGAACUCCCGCUUGCAGUAAAUCUCUUAAUAUAUUGCACGUGCGCAUGCACACACGCACACGCACUUGCAAAAACUCCUCUUGCUGCUUCUGUUUCCUUGAUUAAACCUUGACAGAUAGAGCCUCAGAUGUCGCUAAAGCUUUUAUUUUACCCAUCAGUGCUGCCAGCAAGGCCUGUCACCAGUCCUGCAGGUGUUAGAUAUGCAAUACUAUGUAUUGAAUUGAACGUACCCACAGCCCUUGCGCAGAGGUUUCCUUUGUCAAGGGGUUUUGCUGCUGCGCUGACUCUGCAGGGCCAGGGAGCAGGCAGCUCCCCUGCUAGUAUUUUCCACUCAGAGGUAGGCGGUGAUCCACAGCAGCCCCUGAAACUCAAGUGGCAGAAGCUGGCAGUAGAAAGAACCAUCACCCACGUACCUUCCAGUAUGUGGGAGAAAUGUGGCCAAACACUGAGACUUCACAUGAAAAAUCCCUUCUGCCUCUGUUACUAUUGCUCAGUAUUAUUUGGUUUCUCUUGUGAAUUGUUGUAAAACAUGUAGACGGGAGUUCUGAAAUAGCCUGAUUGGAAAAACUAGAAAAAUGAGAAAUUGGUGUGGUUUUGAGAAAGAAAGGGCCCAGGAAGCAGCCAAGUUGUUUACAUUUUUAUUGACUGGUCCUUGCCUCGGUACAGUACAAACCUAGUUCAGCAGUUUCUGUUUAGUACAUUCAGUCAAUUUGUCUAUAACAUGACGUGUGGCUAAAAAUCAAUGAGCUAUGCAAAGUCAGAAAGUGAAAAUCAAGAGCUAAUGGGAAAAAUUGGAGAACAGCACAACACGCAGACUUCUCAGUGAUGUAUUUAAGUGGGUAGGAACCUAAUAAAAAACAGCACAGUUUUAUACGUGCUAAAUGGUAAUAAAAUCUACUGAUACUACAAUAAAUAUGGUUCUUGACCUUGAAAAAGACCCAAAGUUUUCUUGUGGACGAGAGCUUGAGAGUGCUUCAACCUGGGAGUUAUUGUGACAUUCGGGGGACAGGGAGACAGAGCUGUAAUACCACGUGUGUGUGGGUGUGUCUUCUAACACAAGUGGCAGUCUGGGGGAAAUGGGAGAUGUUUGACUGUGUGUGUGUGUGUUCUGUAUGCACGCAUUCUGUAUGUUCCUACACACCUCAUUUCAGCUGGGUGCAAUUUUCUGUACUCGCCUAGUAUUUCUUGUGGAUGAGAGUGUAUAUUAAUCACAUGGGAACAUUUACAUUUGCAUUUUCCAGCUUGAUUGCAGGCUGGCCGUAUCCCCUAAAGAGAUCAUCAUCCUUUAUCUAUACUUUGAAAAUCCCAAAGGUCCUUUGUAAGUUUGGCGUAAAUUCCUGUUAGCAAAAAUUAAGGUGAAUAUAAGCGUUUUCCACAAACACUGCCAUGUGAUUAUCAAGUGCUGUCACAGCCCCAUUGGGGUCUAAAUAUGCCUCUGUGCAAUCUAAAAACUUCCAAUUUCUCAGCACAUCUGGCCCUAAGGGCCUAGGGACUAUCCAUCUGUAAACUGAGUGUCUGCUUUGCGCCAGGGUCGUGAUCAGUUCUGCAGGUAGAGACUGAACGCGGUGUGGGCCCUGGGUCCAGGGAACUUGCAUCCAGGAGCUGUGGCAUGCGCUGUGCAACAGGUGUCUACACACACACACACACGCAGAGAACAGGAGGAAGCCAUUCUUUCUGGGCAGAGGUCAAGGAAGGCCUUCCAGAGAGCGUGGCCCUGGGGUUGUGUGUGGGAGGAUGGCCAGAGUUCUCCAGGCAAAGGGAGAGAAGCACUCCCCAGAGAAGAGCUUCUGUAAGGUGCAAAGACACAGUGGCACAGAGGAGCUGAUGCAGAGGGGUCUCUGUAGGAGCACACAGCCGCCACCUGGUGCAUUACUUAGCGAGGGCUGCCGUGACCGGUACCGCUGAGCAGGGGGCUCAGGAGUUUGCAGGCCAGCUGUCCAGGGCCAGGUGUCAUCGGUGUUGCUUUCUCCUUAGGCCUCUUUCUGUGGCUUGUCAAUGGCCGUCUUCUCUUCAUGUCCUCACGUGGGCUUCCUGUGUGUGUCUGUGUCUUGAUCUCCUCUUUGAAAGACACCAGUCAUGUUGGGCUAGAGCCUGCUCGAUGGCCUCUUCUACCUUAAUUACCUCUUUAAAGACCUCAUCUCCAAACACAGUCACCAUCUGAGGGUUUUGGGAGGGGAGCGGUUAGGGCUUCAACCUGUGAAUCUGGUGAGACCCAGUUCAGCUCAUAACACAUGGUGUCAUGCAGCGUAAGCACUAGCAAAGUGAACGGGAGCCGGAGGGAGCUGUGAUUGGUUAAAUGGGCUGGGGGGUUGGGAACAGCUUCGAAGACAUUGAUUUGGAAGGAUGAAUAGAACUUCAUCACCUUGGGGAGGAAGCAGUGACAUUUCUGGCCCAGGGAUCAAAGCAGAUGGAGGCUGUGGACCUGCCCUGGGGCCUGGUACCCCUGAAUCGGGUCAGUCGCCACAAUCUCACCUCUGACCCCUGACUUGUGGAAGCCACAGUCUCUGUCCUCCUCAGGAAUUUGUCCCAGGAUCCCCACCUUCUUUUAAAAUUGUGUUGUUGUGGAGUUCCCAUCAUGGUGCAGCGGAAAUGAAUCCAACUGGGAACCAUGAGAUUCAAUUCCUAACCUCAAUCAGUGGGUUAAGGAUCCGGCGUUGCCUUGAGCUGUGGUAUAGGUCGCAGACGCAGCUCGGAUCUGGCGUUGCUGCUGCUGUGGUGUAGGUCGGCAGCUGUAGCUCCAAUUGGACCCCUGGCCUGGGAGCCUCCAAUUGCCUCAGGUAUAGCCCUAAAAAGCAAAAAAAUAAAUAAAAAAAA
ensembl:lncRNA